CACUGACAUUAGAUACCCCCGUAGUCCCAGCCCUAAACGAUGCGCGUUAGGUGUAUCGGUGACCACGAGUCACCGAGGUGCCGAAGGGAAACCGUGAAACGUGCCGCCUGGGAAGUACGGUCGCAAGGCUGAAACUUAAAGGAAUUGGCGGGGAGCACCACAACGGGUGGAGCCUGCGGUUUAAUUGGACUCAACGCCGGGAAGCUCACCGGAUAAGACAGCGGAAUGAUUGCCGGGCUGAAGACUCUGCAUGACUAGCUG
rnacentral:rRNA from 1 species